GGGUGCGGAACACGUGUGCAACCUGCCUUUAUCUGGGGGAUAGCCUUUCGAAAGGAAGAUUAAUACCCCAUAAUAUAUAGAUUGGCAUCAAUUUAUAUUGAAAACUCCGGUGGAUAAAGAUAGGCACGCGCAAGAUUAGAUAGUUGGUGAGGUAACGGCUCACCAAGUCAAUGAUCUUUAGGGGGCCUGAGAGGGUGAUCCCCCACACUGGUACUGAGACACGGACCAGACUCCUACGGGAGGCAGCAGUGAGGAAUAUUGGACAAUGGGUGCAAGCCUGAUCCAGCCAUCCCGCGUGAAGGACGACUGCCCUAUGGGUUGUAAACUUCUUUUGUACAGGGAUAAACCUCUCCACGUGUGGAGAGCUGAAGGUACUGUACGAAUAAGCACCGGCUA
rnacentral:rRNA from 1 species